UUACGCUUGAUAUGCCGAGAUGUUAACUCUGAAUCCGUUCCUCCAAGCAUUUCCCACAUCACCUGUACAUCCUCAUAUCCACAGGACUGUAUAUCACCUUGAAGCUUCAAUAAUCCAGCACCUGAUGUAAACAAAAAGUUUGGAGAUGGGGUCAAGUAAUGAGACCAAGAUUCCUAAUCGAAGAAAUGGAAAAGGAAAGGAGUGAAAAGAAGUAGAUAUUUUUGUGUAUUGAAGGAUACGUGGAGUCUUUUGAGGCUCUAUUAUUUAUUACGACUUUUCCCUACUGUCGGCAAUGGGGUCUAACUCCACGUUUUAAUCAAUUUUUUCCAUGGAUUUUA